rnacentral:rRNA from 1 species
AACGCGUAUGUAACUUGCCCUAUGGUUUGGGAUAACACUGCGAAAGCGGUGCUAAUACCGGAUGUGAUGAUUUGGUUUCAUGAUUAAAUCAUUAAAGUAGCUUUUCGGGGUUAUGCCAUGGGAUAGACCUGCGUAUCAUUAGUUAGUUGGUGGGGUAACGGCCUACCAAGACCGCGAUGAUUAGCCGGCCUGAGAGGGCGAUCGGCCACACUGGGACUGAGAUACGGCCCAG